rnacentral:rRNA from 1 species
GAUGAACGCUGGCGGCGUGCCUAAUACAUGCAAGUCGAGCGAACGGACGAGAAGCUUGCUUCUCUGAUGUUAGCGGCGGACGGGUGAGUAACACGUGGAUAACCUACCUAUAAGACUGGGAUAACUUCGGGAAACCGGAGCUAAUACCGGAUAAUAUUUUGAAGCGCAUGGUUCAAAAGUGAAAGACGGUCUUGCUGUCACUUAUAGAUGGAUCCGGGCUGCAUUGGAUGGUUGGUAAGGUAACGGCUUACCAAGGCAACGAUGCAUAGCCGACGUGAGAGGGGGAUAGGCGACACGGGAAGGUGAACGGGGUCAAGGGUCCUGCGGUAGGGAGCAGUAGGGAAUCGGCCGCAAUGGGCGAAAGCAUGACGGAGCAGCGGGACGUGAGUGACGAAGGUGUUGGGUUCGGAAAACUGUCUUAUGAGGGAAAAACAGAUGUGGCCGUAGCCGAAGACAUAGUGACGGUAACGAAUAAAAAAGCACCGGCUAACUACGUG